UACGGAGGGUGCGAGCGUUAUCCGGAUUCACUGGGUUUAAAGGGUGCGUAGGUGGGCAUUUAAGUCAGUGGUGAAAUCUCCGGGCUUAACCCGGAAACUGCCAUUGAUACUAUAUGUCUUGAAUACCGUGGAGGUGAGCGGAAUAUGUCAUGUAGCGGUGAAAUGCUUAGAUAUGACAUAGAACACCAAUUGCGAAGGCAGCUCACUACACGGACUAUUGACACUGAAGGCACGGAAAAGCGAUGGGGGAUAAAACCAGGAUUAGAAAACCCGAAGUACGUCCAGACCCAAGUCAUUCUGCUAACCCCGUAA
rnacentral:rRNA from 1 species